AAACGUCCAGCCUGUGCCUUUGUGGCCUCUUGGGCUGGGUUGCAAUCUCAUGCCAACCCGCUUGCCGGUUGUCAGGAGGCCUCUGGGGAGGACGCUGCAGGAGCCUCAAACGCCACCUACUCCCGGCCUCUCUCCCGGUUGAUGUUUCUAUUUUGGGUACCACAUUAUUUCCUGCUGUGAUUUUUUUUUCAGGCUUCUAAUUCGGGCUCUGAGCAAUGGGAGUUGAACACUUCCGUGUCCGAGGUCUGUUUAACUAUGUUUGGACAAUGACCCUUUAGAGAUGCUGAUGAAGGCUACACAGAAUCCCAGAAACUAUCCACAACAAACUCAUAGCAGACAAAAUGGUAAAGCUCCCGGGAGCCUCACCCAUCCCAGUCCUUGGAGGUGACUUUAGCUGAGACUUCUAGCAGUAAGGAUAUGGAGCCUGUUGUGCUUGUAGCCAGGAGCCUAGCAUAACUCCUCUGAGAGCUACCCAGCAGCUGACUGAAACAGAUGCUGAGACCCACAGUCAAACAUUAGAUGGAGCUUGGGGACCCUUGUGGAAGAGUUGGGGGAAGGACUGCAGGCCCUGAAGGAAAUAGGAACUCUACAAGAAGACCAACAAAGUCAACUAACCUGGACCACUAGGGGCUCCCAGAAACUGAACCAUCAACCAAAGAGCAUACAUAGGCUGGACUUAGACCUCCCUGCACAUAUGGAACAGAUAUGUAGCUUGGUCUUCAUGUGGAUCUCCCAACAACUGGAGCAAGGGCUGUCCCUGAAUCUGUUGCCUGCCUGUGGAUUCUGUACCCUUAACUGGGCUGCCUUGUCUGGCCUCAGUGGGAAAGGAUGUGCCUAGCCCUGCAAAGACUUGAUGUACCUAGGUUGGGGGGGUACCGGGGGAGGAGGGAGGGUUCCAUCUUCUCAGAAAAGGGGGUGGGGGGACUGUGUGAAGGAGGUACGAGGAGAGGGGAGCAGCAAUUGGGAUGUAAAGUGAAUCAAUAUAUAGAUAAGUGAAUAUGUAGGAAAAAUGAUUAAGUUCCUCACAUGGCUGAAAGUGAAAGAGGCAGCAUCUUUUAAAAGGUCUUGGUUCCUGGAGGUCUUUUUUUUUGCUUUUGAAUCACAUGCACCUUGUCUGCUGUUGCCUUUAUGAACAUGUAACAUCCAAUAAAAUUUGUUUUUUAAAUCUUUAU